rnacentral:rRNA from 1 species
UACGGGGGGGGUAAGCGUUGUUCGGAAUUACUGGGCGUAAAGGGCGCGUAGGCGGCCUGCUAAGUCACACGUGAAAUCCCUCGGCUCAACCGGGGAACUGCGUGUGAUACUGGCGGGCUUGAAUUCGGGAGAGGGAUGUGGAAUUCCAGGUGUAGCGGUGAAAUGCGUAGAUAUCUGGAGGAACACCGGUGGCGAAGGCGGCUCUCUGGACCGGAUCUGACGCUGAGGCGCGAAAGCGUGGGGAGCAAACAGG